rnacentral:rRNA from 1 species
ACACUCCUACGGGAGGCAGCAGUGGGGAAUCUUGCGCAAUGGGCGAAAGCCUGACGCAGCCAUGCCGCGUGAAUGAUGAAGGUCUUAGGAUUGUAAAAUUCUUUCACCGGGGACGAUAAUGACGGUACCCGGAGAAGAAGCCCCGGCUAACUUCGUGCCAGCAGCCGCGGUAAUACGAAGGGGGCUAGCGUUGCUCGGGAUUACUGGGCGUAAAGGGAGCGUAGGCGGACAUUUAAGUCAGGGGUGAAAUCCCGGGGCUCAACCUCGGAAUUGCCUUUGAUACUGGGUGUCUUGAGUAUGAGAGAGGUGUGUGGAACUCCGAGUGUAGAGGUGAAAUUCGUAGAUAUUCGGAAGAACACCAGUGGCGAAGGCGACACACUGGCUCAUUACUGACGCUGAGGCUCGAAAGCGUGGGGAGCAAACAGGAUUAGAAACCCCUGUAGUCCCAUGAU